rnacentral:misc_RNA from 1 species
UUACACUUCCUCAGACGCAACUCAAAAGCUGGAGGGGUUGAUGCCAGCAAGCACACAAUGGCCAAGUAUUUGAUGGAACUGACAAUCAUCGAGUACGAUAUGGUGCAAUAUUACCCCUCAGAAAUAGCAGCUGCUGCCCUUUGUCUUUCAAUGAAGUUAUUAGACGGAACAAAAUGGACGGACACAUUAGAGCACUACAGUUCCUACUCGGAGGAGGACUUGUCCCCGCUAAUGAAAAAGUUGUGUAGUCUAGUCAUCAAAGCAGAGACGUACAAAUUGACAGCUGUGCGAACAAAAUAUGCCUCUUCAAAGUUUAUGAAAAUCAGCUCUUGUUCGGAACUGAAAGGACAGGUGGUGAAAGAACUGGCAUCUCAGAAUGAUCUAUGAACAAGUCGUAGAGGUUUUAAUCAACAGGCUGUGAUUUGUGUGUUGUCAUGGUGAUUGAAGUGGAACUGUUGUGGAGCAGUGGAUGAAAUCUGUGUGUGAUCCCCUCAGUGGUGGAUAAAUCUAAAUGUGUCAUUAUGUGUCGCUCCAUAUGGAGUGCUGUGUAUGCGAAUAUCAUUGUUCAUAUCAUAUCAGGAUCUUUUAUCUGAAACCCCUUUUUAUAUCAGAAGUUUUUUUUAUUUUUUGAGACCCAUUUCUUUUUAUCAUUAUCUUGAAGCAUACAAGUUCAGUUGAUACUUGGAAACAUUUUUUUCAUUUCAACUUUUGAUUUCUGCAUUUGAAAUUUUCGCUGUAAAAAGAUCUCUGUACUUCAUCAUGUUAGACUGUUCCAUAGACUGUAACCAUUCCUCCAUUAAUUUAUUAAGAGAGCAUGAAUGAAUGAUGUAUGAAAGAAUAGUUAACUCAGAAAUCAUGAUAUUAAUGUUUACAAAACAAGGGAUAACAUUUAUUUUUCACAUGACUUCAUUCUUUUCUUUUUUUUUUAUUUUACACCUGACCGAGUUUCCCAUUCUCUUGUUUUGUCAACAGAAAAAU